rnacentral:rRNA from 1 species
ACGCCGCGUGAGUGAUGAAGGCUUUCGGGUCGUAAAACUCUGUUGUUAGGGAAGAACAAGUGCUAGUUGAAUAAGCUGGCACCUUGACGGUACCUAACCAGAAAGCCACGGCUAACUACGUGCCAGCAGCCGCGGUAAUACGUAGGUGGCAAGCGUUAUCCGGAAUUAUUGGGCGUAAAGCGCGCGCAGGUGGUUUCUUAAGUCUGAUGUGAAAGCCCACGGCUCAACCGUGGAGGGUCAUUGGAAACUGGGAGACUUGAGUGCAGAAGAGGAAAGUGGAAUUCCAUGUGUAGCGGUGAAAUGCGUAGAGAUAUGGAGGAACACCAGUGGCGAAGGCGACUUUCUGGUCUGUAACUGACACUGAGGCGCGAAAGCGUGGGGAGCAAACAGGAUUAGAUACCCUGGUAGUCCACGCCGUAAACGAUGAGUGCUAAGUGUUAGAGGGUUUCCGCCCUUUAGUGCUGAAGUUAACGCA